CGCCAGACUCCUACGGGAGGCAGCAGUGAGGAAUAUUGGUCAAUGGGCGGGAGCCUGAACCAGCCAAGUCGCGUGAGGGAAGACUGCCCUAUGGGUUGUAAACCUCUUUUGUCAGGGAGCAAUUGGCGCUACGUGUAGCGUUAUCGAGAGUACCUGAAGAAAAAGCAUCGGCUAACUCCGUGCCAGCAGCCGCGGUAAUACGGAGGAUGCGAGCGUUAUCCGGAUUUAUUGGGUUUAAAGGGUGCGCAGGCGGAGGUGCAAGUCAGCGGUCAAAUUGCGGGGCUCAACCCCGUACUGCCGUUGAAACUGCAUCCCUUGAGUGCGCGAGAAGUAUGCGGAAUGCGUGGUGUAGCGGUGAAAUGCAUAGAUAUCACGCAGAACUCCGAUUGCGAAGGCAGCAUACCGGCGCGCAACUGACGCUCAUGCACGAAAGCGUGGGUAUCGAACAGGAUUAGAUACCCGCGUA
rnacentral:rRNA from 1 species